UGCUCUCCACAACAACAUUUUACUAUACUAUUGAAAAUAUAUGGUCAUUUUAGAAGAAUGAUUUUAUUAUACUAUUGAGAAUUGCUUCAUGUUAAUACUAUUGGUAAUCUAUAUGCACUCAGUUGUCCUUCUUCAUCAGCUCGGCCCGGUCUUAUAGGUUCCAAGCGGUCGACUCUCUUUCACUCUUUCUCAGGCAAAGCUUGCAUUUCUGAAAGGUUACACCUUUUCCACGCGUUGUCGUCAUGGAUCUGGAGCUUGGGACCAUGGACAGCUUCAGAUCUAGUUUCUACGGUCAGAUCUUCCCUCCUGAUAACUUCGUCUUCGGUUAGUCUGGUGCUAGAAACAAUUUUACGAAAGGUCACUACACCGAGAGGGCUGACUUGAUAGAUUCGGUUCUCAAUGUGGUGCGCAAAGAGUCGGAGAACUGUGAGUGCUUGCAAGCAAACUCUAUGUUUCAACCUCAGAUGGAAAAGGGUGAUGGUGCUAGUAAUUCUUUGGGGGCUUUUCUACUUCUUCAAAUAUUCAAGGCAAGUUCUCUCUUGUGCCUACCCCUAUCUCUAUUUCUGUCAUUGCUGUAUUGUUUCUAAUACUCUUUAAAUCGAGUGCAGAAUGAUUUAGCAUUUUAGCUACAUGCAGUACAUGGUAUUGGGUCCUCUUCUGCUUACGGUACUACGUUGUGUGACUGUUCAUGAAGGGCGCAUAUAUCAACUAAAACUGUUCUAUGACAAAGAUUAUCCAGAGAAGCCACCAAGUGUACAAUUUCAUACACGCAUCAAGAUGACUUGUGUCAAUCAUGAAACUGGAGUGGUAAUGUUGUCUCAUAACCUGCAUUUUAGGAUGUUAUUCAACUGCUUAGUUUUGACAAUUAUUGGCUUUGCUCCUGGUUUUAAUUUCUGUUCCCUGUUUUCAUAAUUGUUGGCUGAUCGAGGACUGCAUGGCAUGUGUUGAUCUUCUUGAAGUCAUGCUGGUGGAACAUUUGCAGAGGAAUAUUGUGCAGCAAUGUGAAUAUUCAAAUGUUAAAGCUACUGAACUGAUUCUCCCACAGUUUGUGUUUUGAAAGAUCACCUGCCUUCCAAAGUGGGAUUUGCAUUAAGAGAUGUAGAUGCAAGUCUUUUUCUUUUUUCUUUUUCUGCAACUUCUUGCGUGUAGCAACUCAUGUGUAGUGUGGCUUUUGAUGUGGAAAUAUUGCAUGCUGCCUCUUGAAAUAAGUUGUUGUUUUUUGUUUGUGGUUGUAGAUUAUUCAAUUGCAGAGAAGUUAAUUUAUUCUCUCAAGUCAAUUUUUUAAAGGUUUCCUUCCCUUGGCUUGUUAACUAACAUUACAUCAGUGGUGGCAGAAGUAGAAGAAAGAAAAGAGGGGCAGCAGGAGCAAGCAUUAGUAGUGGGCGAAGUGGGCAAGCAAUCAUAAAUAGUCCAAUAAUCACUGUAUCCAUUUCUAGCACACUUAUGUUUUUGUCUCUGAUGCAAUGUAAGACAAUAAAUUGUCACUGAUUCAUGACUUUGUGGAACAAUGACUAAUACGAAUGUAUAUAUCUUGGUGGAUCCAAUGUAUUUUGAAGUUUAAAGUA